rnacentral:lncRNA from 1 species
UGCUACGGUGCAACUGUGGUACCGUGCCACAGUUACAUCCAGCCGUUGGAUGCACUUGGAUUUGGUGGAGUCUAUUAAAAUCUAACGGCUGAAUACAAUUGUGGUAUAAUACUACAAUUGCAUCACAGUUUCCCUAUAUAUAUAUUGUAGGCAACAACAACUAAGUUCAACUUGAUGUGACUUCAGGUAUGUUGGAAGUGAGGAGAUCUGGGUGAUGCGCCUGACUUAUCCAAGACCUGAUAAUUUGACUGCGUAAAGGUCAUCAACAAAAUCUUUUAUUCCGAGUGAUAUAGAUCCCAUUUCAUUUAAUUUGUAGAUCUUACUCCUAGGACUCAUUAGACCUAUCAAAUAGCAUGCCAUGGCUGGUCGGACGCACCAGAAGAGUAUGUUGAGGCGGUCUUACAAUGGUGCCCCCCCCCCGUCCCACGCACAUCUUUCUCCUUGGAAAUAAGAAUAAAUGGGCCACUUUGUGAUGGAAAAAAUGCUUACGUGGACUGGGCAUACUGUUCCACUGUUCCAGCAAAUCUAUCAGUGAUUCACUAAUUUUUGCACCACUUCAAUACCCUGCCCCAAGAAGAUUUUUUAUUGUGAUUGAGGGAAACCCCACUUCACACCUAUUCUGUUGUCAUUUCCAAGUUAUUUAACAUCUUUUUUGGUUGUCAUCGUCGAAUAAAGUAAUUAGUAAUUGUUUGUUUCCAUUCCACAUAGAAACAAAGGCAACACAAGUUAAAUUGUUGUAAGAUACUAAGAUCCAAACUCCGCAAACUUCCAUUUCAUUGCUUUGUUAUUCAGUCACACUGCUGCUCCCCACCCAGCUCGGAAAGGGGUCACUUGGCUCCUAUUUAUUUCUCAAAGACCAAAGCACUAUGAAAAAUAUCUACUUUCUAUUUUGUGUUUUCUUGUCAAUGCAGAGUUUUAUCAUCUACUGUAGAUUUUAAAAUAUAUUCAGGUUAUUUAUAAUCACUCAUAAAUCAUAUACAUUAGAGAAAUUUACAACCGUCCACCUAUUUGUUUUGUCUUUUUCAAAAAUACACAAACACUUUUUUUUUUUUUCAGCGCGCCACCUGAAGUUUACUUUUUGUUGCAUUCGUCCACUUCCGUCUAAUUUCCGUUAAUGAAUUUAACGGAAUGACCUUUUUACCCUUCAAAAUUACAAUUUAACCUAAAAUAAAUAGAAAUUAGAGAUAAAUUGGAUGGAUUUAAUUUUUUUCAAAGGUGGAUGCUAGAAAUUAGAGGAAAAUAAUGUUUGUUGCUUGCUAAAUUUAAAAAAUUUAUAUUUAUUUUUUUAGAGAAAAAUAGUGUUUAUUACUUGCUAAAUUUAGAAAAUUUGUAUUUAUUUUUUUGUGUAUUUAUUUUUUUGUCUCUCAAAAAAAUAAAUACAAAUUUUCUAAAUUUAUCAAGCAACAAACGCUAUUUUCCUCCAAUUUCUAGCAUCCACCUUUGAAAAAAAUUAAAUCCAUCCAAUUUAUCUCCAAUUUCCAUUUAUUUUGGGUUAAAUUAUAAUUUUGAGGGGUAAAAAGGUCAUUUCGUUAACAUUCCGUUAAAUCCACUAACGGAAAUUUGACGGAAGUGGAUGAAUGCAACCAAAAACAAACUUCAGGUGGCGCGCUGCAAAAAAAAAAAGUGUUUGUGUAUUUUUGAAAAAUACAAAACAAACAGGUGGACGAGUGUAAAUUUCCCUAUACAUUAAUUAAGUUCAAACCUUUUUACAUAUUAUACAAGUUUGAAUUUAAAAAUAUUUGUUCUUU